GAUGAACGCUAGCUACAGGCUUAACACAUGCAAGUCGAGGGGUAGCAUGUUGGUUGCUUGCAACCGAUGAUGACGACCGGCGCACGGGUGAGUAACGCGUAUCCAACUUGGCUUAUACUUAGGGAUAACCCGUUGAAAGACGGCCUAAUACCUAAUGGUUUAUAAUAGUUGCAUGACUUUUAUAAUAAAGAUUUAUCGGUAUAAGAUAGGGAUGCGUCUGAUUAGUUAGUUGGUGAGGUAACGGCUCACCAAGGCAUCGAUCAGUAGGGGUUCUGAGAGGAAGGUCCCCCACAUUGGAACUGAGACACGGUCCAAACUCCUACGGGAGGCAGCAGUGAGGAAUAUUGGUCAAUGGACGUAAGUCUGAACCAGCCAAGUAGCGUGCGGGAUGACGGCCCUAUGGGUUGUAAACUGCUUUUAUGUGAGAAUAAAGUUAACUACGUGUAGUUAUUUGCAUGUAUCACAUGAAUAAGGACCGGCUAAUUCCGUGCCAGCAGCCGCGGUAAUACGGAAGGUCCAGGCGUUAUCCGGAUUUAUUGGGUUUAAAGGGAGCGUAGGCCGUUUGGUAAGCGUGCUGUGAAAUUUAGAGGCUCAACCUCUACCGUGCAGCGCGAACUGUCAGACUUGAGUGCGUAGUAGGUAGGCGGAAUUCGUGGUGUAGCGGUGAAAUGCUUAGAUAUCACGAAGAACUCCGAUUGCGAAGGCAGCUUACCGUAUCGCAACUGACGCUGAUGCUCGAAGGUGCGGGUAUCGAACAGGAUUAGAUACCCUGGUAGUCCGCACAGUAAACGAUGGAUGCUCGCUGUUGGCUUUUAUAGUCAGUGGCUUAGCGAAAGCGUUAAGCAUCCCACCUGGGGAGUACGCCGGCAACGGUGAAACUCAAAGGAAUUGACGGGGGCCCGCACAAGCAGAGGAACAUGUGGUUUAAUUCGAUGAUACGCGAGGAACCUUACCCGGGCUUGAACUGCAGGAGAACGAUUCAGAGAUGAUGAGGUCCUUCGGGACUCCUGUGGAGGUGCUGCAUGGUUGUCGUCAGCUCGUGCCGUGAGGUGUCGGCUUAAGUGCCAUAACGAGCGCAACCCCUUUUCUUAGUUGCCAUCGGGUGAUGCCGGGCACUCUGAGGAUACCGCCACCGUAAGGUGUGAGGAAGGUGGGGAUGACGUCAAAUCAGCACGGCCCUUACGUCCGGGGCUACACACGUGUUACAAUGGGGCAUACAGAGUGUUGGUUGCAUGUAAAUGUAAUCUAAUCUUUAAAGUGCUUCUCAGUUCGGACUGGGGUCUGCAACCCGACCCCACGAAGCUGGAUUCGCUAGUAAUCGCGCAUCAGCCAUGGCGCGGUGAAUACGUUCCCGGGCCU
rnacentral:rRNA from 1 species